AUUGAACGCUGGCGGCAGGCCUAACACAUGCAAGUCGAACGAGUGGCGGACGGGUGAGUAAUGUCUGGGAAACUGCCAGAUGGAGGGGGAUAACUACUGGAAACGGUAGCUAAUACCGCAUACCAUCGGAUGUGCCCAGAUGGGAUUAGCUAGUAGGUGGGGUAAAGGCUCACCUAGGCGACGAUCCCUAGCUGGUCUGAGAGGAUGACCAGCCAACCCGGGACUGCGACAAGGCCCCGACUCCUACGGGAGGCAGCAGGGGGGAAUAUUGCACAAAGGGCGCAAGCCGUAUGCAGCCAUGCCGCGUGUAUGAAGAAGGCCUUGGGGUUGUAAAGUACUUUCAGCGGGGAGGAGUUACCCGCAGAAGGAGCACCGGCUAACUCCGUGCCAGGAGCCGCGGUAAUUC
rnacentral:rRNA from 1 species